GUACAGUCCACGCGGAGUGGGUACGACAGGCCAGUCGCGAGAGUGUUAGUGAGAUUCCGACUGGUGGGUGACCUUAGAUUAUGUGCACAGAUGAUUUAUGAGAAGCACUAGAGCGUAACUUAUGUGCAGAAGGCCGUACAGGUCACAGAGGUGACUCCGGCAGAGUGAGAGUGAUAGAUUUUGAGCUCUAGGUUCAACCGUACAGGGCUAUUAGAGGGCCUCCGGUUGAUUACUUUAUUGCACCUGAUAUGAUUUAUGUUGAUGCAUUCAUACCUUAUUACUGUUGAGAUGAUGUGGCAUGGCAUAAUUAUGAUGAAAAUGUUGAGUUAAUGAAUUGAAGUAUUGAGAAUAUAUAUAUGUAUAUUUAUAUUUUAUAUUUCUAGGAAAGUAUACAGGUUUUACGGAGAGGGGUUACAAUGUUUUGAUGAAAAGUUGGAUUUGAAAAGAUUUGUUUUACUGACCCACUCAAUUUUGGUUUUGCGCCCCUCCAGGUUCAGGAAUCACAAAGGUGUGGUGACUACGAGGAAUUCGACGGUGUUCUGACAGAUUGGACAAAAUUAGGACUCACCUUCGGGUGUAUCAACUUAUAAAUUGUAUAAUUAAAGCUUCCGUAACAGUAUACCACGCCUUCCUCCGCAGAGAUAUUGUCCGCUUUGUGGUGGAACCCGGCGCACCGGUCCGACCCCACUCACGGGUUUGUUUUUGCAAGCCGCAGCUCCAAAACGCGUCUCUGAAGAGUACAUGCGAGCGAAUACAUAUAAGGCCCAAGGACAGCCCUCACGUCGUCGAUGUGGGAUACUACAAUCCACCCCCCUUAGGGAGACCGACGUCCUCGUCGGCACACCGAACGGCCGUGAGUCUGGCUCUGAUACCAAACAGUAUACCACGCCUUCCACCACAAAGCGGACAAUAUCUCUGCGGAGGAAGGCGUGGUAUACUGUUUGGUAUCAGAGCCAGACUCACGGCCGUUCGGUGUGCCGACGAGGACGUCGGUCUCCCUAAGGGGGGUGGAUUGUAGUAUCCCACAUCGACGACGUGAGGGCUGUCCUUGGGCCUUAUAUGUACAAGCUCACAUGUACUCUUCAGAGACGCGUUUUGGAGCUGCGGCUUGCAAAAACAAAUCCGUGAGUGGGGUCGGACCGGUGCGCCGGGUUCCACCACAAAGCGGACAAUAUCUCUGCGGGAGGAAGGGGCGAAAAUUUAACAAUUUGGAUUGAGUUGGACACGUGGGAUCCCCACACCCCUCAAUCCUCUCCCUAUUUUCUGCAUACUGUCUCUCUCUCUCCUCCCUCACGAAUCUCUCUCUCUCUGUCACUCUUCUUCUCCGUUCGAACAAACCAACCACAAAACAACCUUAAACUUCCACCAACGACGGAGUUAAGACCACCAUCGAACUCCUGGAGACUCCACGAUCACGUAGACACCAAUUUCAGGUAAGUUUUACUUCGGAAAACCUAGAUUCUAAACUCCCCGUGAAAGUGCACUGUUCAUGAUCUUCGAAUUGACUUUGUUUUAGGACAAUCCAAGCUCACAGUGAGCUUAGUGAGGUUCCAAGGAAGCUCGGAGUGCUUCGUUGGAAGUUUUUUGGACGUAAGAACACGGAGAUCGAUAAGUUUAAAGUUUGGCCGGGAGCUUUCGAGGCAUUUUCCGGCGAAUCCCCGGCGAGUUAGGCGUCGAGGUAGGUAUCAAUCUCUUCGUCUCGUCAAGUACUACAACUUUCCUUUUUGUUUCACUCAAUUUCGUUGAGUAUUGAAGAAGUUAUACUCAUUUGAAAAAUACCCAGUUUCCGGCGACCUCCGAGGCUUUCGAGGCAGUUUCCGGCCAAACUACGGCGAACUAGGUGUUGGGAAAGGUACCAUUCUCUUUGUCUCUUCAAGGGCUACAACUUUCGUUUUUUUUGAAUCACUUGAUUUCGUUGAGAAAUGACAAAGUUAUGGCAAUUUGAAAAACUGCCCAGAAAACGGCCGCCGGAAAAAACCAGUCCGGCGACCCAAGGAAGAAGAAGGUGCUACAGUAAAAAUAAAAAUUAAAAAAAAAUUAUUUUAAAAAAUAUGUCGACGUCCGUGACGUCGAGUAGAUCACUGUGGUAUAUUCAUAUACCUAAAUUGAACACCGUAUGAGAAAGUUAUUGAAGAUUGUUGGUUAGGUGUUCAAUAACGUUUAUAGUUUUCACAUUUAGUGAAAAUGUGAAUUGAUGAUCCGACCGUUGGAUCGUCACCAAACUUUGAUACGUUGUAAACGUAAUAUUUGAGGAUUUAUUGGAACUUACGGAUUGGGAAUCCGAGUUACGGAUCUUCCGGAAUUGGAAUUGUAAGUCCAUAAUAUAAAAUGUUAACCGUCACUUAGUUUUGGAAAUUGACGGAAGAUCCGACCGUUGGAUGGUAAUGAAAUUUUAGGAUGUUGUCCUAGAGGUAUAAUGUGGACCUCUGGAAGUUAUGGAUUUAAAAUCUGAGGGGUGGACCUUCCGGAUCAAUCUACGUAGUGACGUAUUUUAUAUAAGUUAUAUAUUCUAUCGAUAUGAAUUCUGAGGUUGGAAUUGAUUAUGUUUUAGGGCGCGAUCGUCAUGACGCCUUGGCGUAUUGUGCUAGGGAGUUGUAGGGCGAACUCCAGGUGAGUGGGCAGUUUUGUUUUCCGUAUAUAUAUAUAUACUUAACGUUUUCCCAGAAAUUGAAAAAUGCAUGAAAUUAUGUUUAAAAUGAAAUGCAUAUGAGUUAUGUGGAAAAACGGGAAGUGAAAUACCAUGCAUAGAAUUGAUAUGAAAAGUAUAUAGAAAUGUGAGUUGAAAAUGCCAUGCAUGAAUUAUAUGAUGCAUAUGUAUGUAUGAAUUGGUGCGGUGGACGCACAGAUGAGUAUUUAAUUACUGUUAUGAUGAUGAUGAUAUAUAUUGAGCUCAAAUCCUGCACCAUGGUUUAGUGCUUAUAGUAUUCACCGCAUCGCACGCUCGCCUCGGAUCCAAGUAGAUGCUAGUCGUACAGUCCACGCGGAGUGGGUACGACAGACCAGUCGCGAGAGUGUUAGUGAGAUUCCGACUGGUGGGUGACCUUAGAUUAUGUGCACAGAUGAUUUAUGAGAAGCACUAGAGCGUAACUUGUGUGCAGAAGGCCGGACGGGUCACAGAGGUGACUCCGGUAGAGUGAUAAUGAUAGAUUUUGAGCUCUAGGUUCAACCGUAUAGGGCUAUUAGAGGGCCUACGGUUGAUUACUUUCUUGCACCUGAUAUGAUUAUGUUGAUGCAUUCAUACCUCAUUACUGUUGAGAUGACAUGGCAUGGCAUGAUUGAUAAAGAGAUAAUGUUGAGAUAGUAAAAAUGAAGUUUUGAGAAUAUAUAUGUAUAUUAUAUAUUUACAUUUCUGGGAAAGUAUACAGGUUUUACGAGAGGGGUUACAACGUUUUGAGAAAUGUUUGGAUUUGGAAAAGAAUUGUUUU
rnacentral:lncRNA from 1 species